ACGGGUGCGUAACGCGUGGGAAUCUGCCCUUAGGUUCGGAAUAACAGCUGGAAACGGCUGCUAAUACCGGAUGAUGACGAAAGUCCAAAGAUUUAUUGCCUGAGGAUGAGCCCGCGUUGGAUUAGGUAGUUGGUGGGGUAAAGGCCUACCAAGCCGACGAUCCAUAGCUGGUCUGAGAGGAUGAUCAGCCACACUGGGACUGAGACACGGCCCAGACUCCUACGGGAGGCAGCAGUGGGGAAUAUUGGACAAUGGGCGAAAGCCUGAUCCAGCAAUGCCGCGUGAGUGAUGAAGGCCCUAGGGUUGUAAAGCUCUUUUACCCGGGAAGAUAAUGACUGUACCGGGAGAAUAAGCCCCGGCUAACUCCGUGCCAGCAGCCGCGGUAAUACGGAGGGGGCUAGCGUUGUUCGGAAUUACUGGGCGUAGAGCGCACGUAGGCGGCUUUGUAAGUCAGAGGUGAAAGCCUGGAGCUCAACUCCAGAACUGCCUUUGAGACUGCAUCGCUUGAAUCCAGGAGAGGUCAGUGGAAUUCCGAGU
rnacentral:rRNA from 1 species